CCAUAAUGAGCAUCUCAGGUAGAAGCAUUUUAGUAAUCUUUCCAAGUCGGGAAGGCAUGAACGGUGUUAUAGCUUCCCCCGUGGAGCCCAAAACAAAGUAGCGGCAGAGCAUACGACAGAGUGCCAUAAGAUUCACAGUUGGUUAAAGUUAUUCAGCUGGACUCUUGAGUGGUUUGGGUCGCGGUUCACAUCUUCAGAUAGAAUACCAGGGAAACUGCCCAUGCAAUGAGAAAGUUGCCCCUGGUGAAGGCGAAAAGGUAUCUUCAGGAUGUAAUCACUCGUUAAAAAGCCAUUCCCUUCCAGUGAUUUUGUGGCGGUGUUGGCUGCACUGCCCAAGCAAAGAACCACCAUUCAAAUGGACAGGGCCGCUGGCCAGCGAAAUCUGCAAACCUCAUUCUGGACUUGCUCAAGAAUGCUGAGAGCAACUCCGAUGUGAAAGGUUUGGAUGUGGACAAACUGUUUGUUUCUCACAACCAGGUGAAUCAAGCCUAGAAGCAGAGGCGCUGAGUGUACCAUGCUUAUGGAAGGAUUAACCCCUGAUACUCAGUUGGCUCCAAGGAAACCCAAGGAAGCUCAAGCGCUUCGCAGUGGUGCUUCGUCUUAAGUGGGGGCCAUAGGUAGAAGGCAGCUCUGAAAUGUUUGAAAAUUUUGGCUUCAUUUUAUAUUUUUCCUCAUUUCCGUAGUCAUGCAAUUGAGAACUUGGUGGUGUUUUGCUUGCCAGAAGUUUUGAUAUUUUAACUCUUGAGGUUUUUUUUUUUUUUUUUUUGAAUAACAAGAAAAAAAUAAAAUAAAAUUCUAAAGGUCAAGGAGU